GACGAACGCUGGCGGCGUGCUUAACACAUGCAAGUCGAACGGAAAGGCCCCUUUGGGGGUACUCGAGUGGCGACCGGGUGCGUAACGCGGGGGUAACCUUCCCUUGCCUUCGGGAUACCUUCAGGAAACUGGGGCUAAUACCGGCUAGGAAUCCUUGCUGCACGGUGGGGGUUGGCAAGCUUCGGCGGUUGUGGAUGGACUCGCGGCUUAUCAGCUUGUUGGUGGGGGAGUGGCUUACCAAGGCGUUGACAGGUAGCCGGCCUGAGAGGGGGACCGGCCACAUUGGGACGGCGAUUCGGCCCAGAAGCCUACGGGAGGCAGCAGUGGGGAAUAUUGCACAAAGGCCGCAAGCCAGAUGCAGCAACGCCGCGUGCGGGAUGACGGCCUUCGGGUUGUAAACCGCUUACAGCAGGGGCGAAGCUUGUGGUGACGGUACCUGCAGAAGAAGCACCGGCUAACUACGUG
rnacentral:rRNA from 1 species